rnacentral:pre_miRNA from 1 species
GAUAUCAACUGAAAAAGUCAUCAACAACAAAGUUGAAUAACUCAUCAAGAUCUAAAACUUUUGUUUUGGUCAUUUCUUCAUACGACAAAGUGAUAGUAACAUUGUUCACAAAAUUGACAUAUCUCUUAUCUGGUUUUAUAAACUAUAACACAUAUAUAUAAAAUUUGUGAAUAAUAUUACUAACAUUUCGUCAGAUGAAGAAAUAACAAAAAUAAAAGUUUUAGAUCUUGAUGAGUUAUUCAACUUUGUUGUUGAUGACUUUUUCAAUUGAAAUC